rnacentral:rRNA from 1 species
GACGAACGCUGGCGGCGUGCUUAACACAUGCAAGUCGAACGGAAAGGCCCUGCUUUUGUGGGGUGCUCGAGUGGCGAACGGGUGAGUAACACGUGAGUAACCUGCCCUUGACUUUGGGAUAACUUCAGGAAACUGGGGCUAAUACCGGAUAGGAGCUCCUGCUGCAUGGUGGGGGUUGGAAAGUCUCGGCGGUUGGGGAUGGACUCGCGGCUUAUCAGCUUGUUGGUGGGGUAGUGGCUUACCAAGGCUUUGACGGGUAGCCGGCCUGAGAGGGUGACCGGCCACAUUGGGACUGAGAUACGGCCCAGACUCCUACGGGAGGCAGCAGUGGGGAAUAUUGCACAAUGGGCGGAAGCCUGAUGCAGCAACGCCGCGUGCGGGAUGACGGCCUUCGGGUUGUAAACCGCUUUCGCCUGUGACGAAGCGGGAGUGACGGUAAUGGGUAAAGAAGCACCGGCUAACUACGUG